rnacentral:rRNA from 1 species
ACAUUUCUUUUUGAUUAUAAUAUUAAGUAGUCUCUGCUCAAUGAUUUAUUUUAAAUGGCCGCAGUAUUUUGACUGUGCAAAGGUAGCAUAAUCAAUUGUUUUUUAAAUGAAAUCUGGUAUGAAAGAGUUAAUGAAAUAUUAACUUUAUUAAAUUAUUUAAUAAAAUUUUAUUUUAGAGUUAAAAAGCUUUAAUUUAUUUAAGGGACGAGAAGACCCUAUAGAAUUUUAUAUAAAAUUGGUUAAUUAAUUAAUCAAUUAAUAUUUUUUUGGGAGGAAAUUUUAAUUUUUAAACUUAAAUAAUUGUUUACAUAGAUAAAUGAAUUUUAUAGAUUUUAUUUUUUUAAAUAUUAGAUUAAAUUACCUUAGGGAUAACAGCGUAAUUUUUAUAAAGAGUUCUUAUUUAUAUAAAAGAUU